GUGCUCGCUUCGGCAGCACUUAUACUAAAAUUGGAACAAUACAGAGAAGAUUAGCAUGUCCCUGCACAAGGAUGACAUGCAAAUUACUGAAGAUUAUUCAAAAAAA
ensembl:snRNA U6 U6 spliceosomal RNA